rnacentral:rRNA from 1 species
GAUGAACGCUGGCGGCGUGCCUAAUACAUGCAAGUCGAGCGAACAGACGAGGAGCUUGCUCCUCUGACGUUAGCGGCGGACGGGUGAGUAACACGUGGAUAACCUACCUAUAAGACUGGGAUAACUUCGGGAAACCGGAGCUAAUACCGGAUAAUAUAUUGAACCGCAUGGUUCAAUAGUGAAAGACGGUUUUGCCGUCACUUAUAGACGGAUCCGCGCCGCAUUAGCUAGUUGGUAAGGUAACGGCUUAUCAAGGCAACGAUGCGUAGCCGACCUGAGAGGGUGAUCAGCCACACUGGAACUGAGACACGGUCCAGACUCCUACGGGAGGCAGCAGUAGGGAAUCUUCCGCAAUGGGCGAAAGCCUGACGGAGCAACGCCGCGUGAGUGAUGAAGGUCUUCGGAUCGUAAAGCUCUGUUAUUAGGGAAGAACAAAUGUGUAAGUAACUAUGCACGUCUUGACGGUACCUAAUCAGAAAGCAACGGCUAACUACGUG